CUCCGCCUGGGAAGCGGAACCGGAAGCCCGACGCGCGGAGCCCAACAUGGCUGCCGCCUGUCGCUCGGAGCCCUCGGGGUCUGCUCUUCCGCAGGCUGGGGCCCCUCACCUCCGCGUCCUGUGGCUCGUGACUGUCGCCGCGGGACCUUGGGGGACCGCUGCGGGGGCCGAGGAGAUGCCCAAGUGCGAGGACCUCCGAGUGGGACAAUACAUUUGUAAAGAACCAAAAAUAAACAAUGCCACCCAAGAACCAGUUAACUGCACAAACUUCACAGCUCACGGCAUGGUGGCACAUGUGAUAGUCCCAGGCCUUGCGGGGCACAGACAUGGUGAAGUUGGAGGUCAUCUUCAGUCGUAUGCAAUUAAAUGUUUUCCAGCACCAAACAUAUCUUGUAAGGAUUUCAGUGGUAAUGAAACGCAUUUUACUGGACGUGAAGUUGGUUUUUUCAAGCCCAUAUCUUGCCGAAAUGUAAAUGGCUAUUCAUAUAGAGUGGCAGUUGCAUUAUCUCUCUUUCUGGGAUGGCUUGGAGCAGAUCGAUUUUACCUUGGAUACCCUGCCUUAGGGCUGAACUUGAGAGUGAUGGACUCAGGAUUUGUUUUCAGGCUUGUUAAAGUUUUGCACCGUAGGAUUUUGUGGAAUUGGGAGCCUAAUUGAUUUCGUUCUUAUUUCAAUGCAGAUUGUUGGACCUUCAGAUGGAAGUAGUUAUAUUAUAGACUAUUAUGGAACCAGACUUAUAAGACUGAGUAUUACUAAUGAAACAUUUAGAAAAACACAGCUAUAUCCAUAGAUGUUUAAAAAGAGGAAUGGUUCCUUGAUUUCAACAGAGCACUCCCAGUACAUGGAUACCCAGAUUUCCCUUUUUUCCUUUACUUACUACUGUAUGGGUUCUAGAUGUUUUUUUGGUUUGUGGUCAUUUUUGAUUUGUUGAUCUAGUUAGAAGUAUAUCAUUUCCAGAUUUAUUUUGUAAGCCUUUCUUGAAGUAGUAUCCUAGUACUUCUUGGGCUGCUGUCUGUAUGAGAUGGUUAGCUCAUUGCUGUUACUGUAUUGUGAUACUCUAUUAUGUCUUUUACAUGUCAUUUGUCAUUUUCAUUUGUGAAAAAUAAAAAUAUAACAUUCA